UGUUUUUCCUCCCGAUUAUUAUUGACUCUAAUAAUAGCCAUAUUCAUUCAGAAUCUCAGGUAUUAAUUGACAGGUCGGCGGUUCGCUGUCACCCAAUUUUAGUUAAAAAAAGUAGUAUAAUUAACAAACAAAUCUUUAAAUCUGUAAAUACCUAGGUACUAUUACGGCAUUAAAAUGUGUUACUGUAACCCCUGGUGUUAUAUAACAGCUGCAAUACUGACAAUUAUACAAUGUUUCUUUCACUGGUUAGUAUGCAUUUGGAUAAUACUCGUUUACACAUGUCAAUACUCCAUGUUAGGAAAAAGUUACUUGUUAACAUUAUGGUAUUUCACAUAUUUUUACAGAAAUCAGUGCACGAACGCAACUACUGCAUCAUUUGUAAGAACACUAACAAUUGUAAUAAAUAAAGAUAUUGAAGAAUUGUACGACUUUUCUAGCUCUGCGCCUGUAGCGUCUAUGACCUAUUUUGUUGCCGUUGUAUAUGCUGUAUUGGAUAUCGUUUGGAUAUGUGCGGCAGUAUUUCUUAUAGGUAAACUAGAAAAGGUACCUAUAGUUGGAACGUUCAAAAUUGGUGUAGUCGUAAUAAAUUAUCUGUGAGAAUGGACAUAUCAUCUUUCUUGUUUCCACUUGGGUUUGCUGCGUUUUGAACAGACCUUGUUAAGAUAGGAAGUGCUUCAUGAGGGGUACAGACAAAAUAAAAAGAGAUAACUGAAUAAUAGGAAUAAUACUUAGGUACUCAAAAAAUCUUUAUAACUGCCUGGUUGAAAUUAUACUUUUUUGUCAUAUUUGCGAGCUAUGAAAUAAGGAAGAUAUGGUCUUUCUUGAGCCGUUUUUCAAUCGGGAAGCCAUGAAAUUAGUCAUUGUGCGCAUGCUCUGAAGUUUAUAGACCUGCGCAGAAAUCAGUUAUUCAAUUUCACUCACAUACAAUGACUUCCUAACCUCUAAAUAAUUUACUCUUAUUUCGUCAAC